AUUGAACGCUGGCGGCAUGCCUUACACAUGCAAGUCGAACGGCAGCACGGGAGCAAUCCUGGUGGCGAGUGGCGAACGGGUGAGUAAUAUAUCGGAACGUGCCCAGUCGUGGGGGAUAACGUAGCGAAAGCUACGCUAAUACCGCAUACGAUCUAUGGAUGAAAGCGGGGGAUCGCAAGACCUCGCGCGAUUGGAGCGGCCGAUAUCAGAUUAGGUAGUUGGUGAGGUAAAGGCUCACCAAGCCGACGAUCUGUAGCUGGUCUGAGAGGACGACCAGCCACACUGGGACUGAGACACGGCCCAGACUCCUACGGGAGGCAGCAGUGGGGAAUUUUGGACAAUGGGCGCAAGCCUGAUCCAGCAAUGCCGCGUGCAGGAUGAAGGCCUUCGGUUGUAACUAGCUUUGUACGGUAACGAAACGGUGAGGCUCUAAUACAGUUUGCUAAUGACGGUACCGUAAGAA
rnacentral:rRNA from 1 species